UAGGGAAUCUUCGGCAAUGGACGAAAGUCUGACCGAGCAACGCCGCGUGAGUGAAGAAGGUUUUCGGAUCGUAAAACUCUGUUGUUAGAGAAGAACAAGGACGUUAGUAACUGAACGUCCCCUGACGGUAUCUAACCAGAAAGCCACGGCUAACUACGUGCCAGCAGCCGCGGUAAUACGUAGGUGGCAAGCGUUGUCCGGAUUUAUUGGGCGUAAAGCGAGCGCAGGCGGUUUCUUAAGUCUGAUGUGAAAGCCCCCGGCUCAACCGGGGAGGGUCAUUGGAAACCGGGAGACUUGAGUGCAGAAGAGGAUAGUGGAAUUCCAUGUGUAGCGGUGAAAUGCGUAGAUAUAUGGAGGAACACCAGUGGCGAAGGCGGCUCUCUGGUCUGUAACUGACGCUGAGGCUCGAAAGCGUGGGGAGCAAACAGG
rnacentral:rRNA from 1 species